rnacentral:lncRNA from 1 species
AGAGAUGUGAAGGAGGGCUUUUCUCAUGGAUUCACUUAAACACCGACAAAUUCUCUGUAUGGGAAGCCAGGAGAUCUGCAGGACAUGCAGAAGAACAUCUAUAUGGGCAUGGACAAAGCUUUACCUGAUUGUCUGGAGCCAGCAUAGAAAGGCAUAACUUUGGGCUUCUUAAGAUCUACAGAUGGAAACCUCCUGGCAGCGUGUGCAGAAACGAUCAGGUCCACAAGGACAACACGGGACAAAUCAAUCAUACAAGAUGGAUGGGGCCAUUGGGUGACGCUUGGGUGAAAACCGCUUCCAGAUUUCACACCAGCUUCGCUUUUGUGCUCCGGCUGAAAACACAGCUUUAUUGCAUGAGCAUAAGUAAUACAGGAAGGCACUUACCACUCCAUUUUGUGCAGCUUUUGUUUGUGAUAGUCUUAAUUUACUGCUGAAGUGAAUCCGAGACUGAUAAUUUUUAUGAUUUUUUACCGAGAAAAGACAUUAAGCUACUUACUUUGGCUGCACUUCCUACGCUGCAGAAAUUAUUUAUCCAAGCACAGCGGCAAAGUGGGUCAGGGGAGGAAUAAUAAUAAUAAUAAUAAAAGAAACCGCCCACAAAAAUCUUGAAUCCCUUGCAGAAGUUGGGUUAAGGCUCAAGAUACUGGAUGCAAACCGCUGCCACGUUCUCCAUUUCAAAGGAAAGGUGUCAGCUCAGGCAGCGAUGUCAAAGGCUGCAAAGUUUGGGCUGCAAAAUCCCACUCCUACCGUUUGCCAUGCUGGCCACAAAGGAACAGAGAGCUGGAUUUGGCUCUGCAAGCUACUCUGCCUUUUCCUCAAGGGAUAUAUACCCCAAGAACUGAGUUGCUUCAUUGAUUCUGUGCAUGGGUAAGCAGCAGUGCCCAUGGGGAGGAGGGGAGAACAGGGAAGAGAAAGCUUUUUUCCCUGUAUUUUCUACCACUAACUGCUCAGUUUGGGUGAAAUAGGAGAGUCACAUCUUUUCCCAACUCUCUGAAGUGAGGGGAACUUUGCUGAGGCCCCAGCUUGAACCGGACCGUGCCCAGAUAUCAUCAGAUCCUGCACAAGAAAAAUAAAGAGCUCAAGUUGCAAAAGAAGAGCGAUGGAGGAGUGAAACUCGAGAGGAGCAUACAGUCCGCUGACAGCUCCCUGCAGCUCAAACCGACCCGUCAGGGCCACAGCAAAGCCUUGGAGCAGCAGCAUUGUGCUCCAGGAAAAUCAGCAUGGUGCAGCCAGGAGGGGAUCAUGCUCAUGCAGAACGAUCUCUGCAGUGGCACCAGAGGAAGAGAUCACACCAUUUGCAAAAGCAAUCUGUGCAGGUGAGAAGGGAAACACAAACCACAUCAGCAGCUGAGCUAAUCAAAAAGGAUCUAGCAUUAAUAAACCAGAAGGGGAGGAAAAGAGAUAAAACCUGGCAAGGCUGUUGGCAGAAAGAUGCUUUUCUUGCCUCACCAGAAGGAAUCCAACACACAAAAACCCAACACAUUUCUUGCAUUAGACAAUUAAAACCCCAUCUUAAUCCUGAGAGACUUCAGGUGGCACAGCAUGUUGUUAUUUAAUUACACCUUCCAGGGCUGAUUAGCUAUCCAAGCAGCAAGGCAUCUCCACCUCCAGUACAAGUAAAGGAAGAGAGAGCAGUGGGAUGGAACCUCUGUACCACGAAGGUAUGACAGCCACAGUGGGAUCAAAGUCACUCCAAGUUGAACAUAGUCUGAUCUUAGUGAGGCUAACUGUAAUUCCCAGUAUCUAUAAGGGCAUCAGUAGUGG